AAUUGGGGCAGCUGAGAGUGAAGAGGCCCCUGGAGCUGGUCCAUCUCCCCUUCAGGCAGACCCAGUUCAGAGGUGAGAAGUCAGAGCCGGGCUCCUGCCCUCCCUUAGGAGGGCUAUUCUUGUGAUUCGUUUGCUUUAUUCUGGGGAGCAGAUGAUACUGUUCUCCCCAUUCUAAAGAGGGAGGGAGAAACUGAGGUGCAGGGAGACAGAGUCUGCAGAGAGGUUUGUUCAAGGUUAUAUGCAAGCAAAACCAGUUGGUUCAAAGUUUGGCUUGGCUGCCUGUCCCUUUUCUUCCCUAGAGUGCCCUGUUUUGGGGCUAGCCUGGGAAGGUUAGAGGGCCAAGCCCCAGAGGCUGGGCUGAGGAGCCCCUCUUGGCAGUGUAGGAACGUAGAUAACCCUACACAUACUUCAAACUCAGACUGUCUCUCUUCCUAUGGUCUCUUUCUAUCCUCCCCCACCCAACACGAACCAAAAGCCCCUUCCGGCCCCUCAGGUGGGAUGGGUGGCCCCCCUUCUUCAGCGUGCAGCAUCACCAGUUGUCCUGACAGCUGGGCCAACCAAAUUAUAUGCAGGGGACACAGUCACAGCCAACUCUCACACGGCCUGGCAUUGGCUGGAAUUUGCUAAGUUAGUCUUCUUUAUCCCACCUCCUCUGGUGGUGGUGGUGGUGGUGGUGGUGGUGGUGGUGGUGGUGGUGAUGGUGGUGAGGGCAGAACCAGGGAAGAUGA
rnacentral:lncRNA from 1 species